CUCACACAAGCGGUGGAGCAUGUGGCUUAAUUCGAUGCAACGCGAAGAACCUUUACCUGGUCUUGACAUCCACGGAAGUUUUCAGAGAUGAGAAUGUGCCUUCGGGAACCGUGAGACAGGUGCUGCAUGGCUGUCGUCAGCUCGUGUUGUGAAAUGUUGGGUUAAGUCCCGCAACGAGCGCAACCCUUAUCCUUUGUUGCCAGCGGUCCGGCCGGGAACUCAAAGGAGACUGCCAGUGAUAAACUGGAGGAAGGUGGGGAUGACGUCAAGUCAUCAUGGCCCUUACGACCAGGGCUACACACGUGCUACAAUGGCGCAUACAAAGAGAAGCGACCUCGCGAGAGCAAGCGGACCUCAUAAAGUGCGUCGUAGUCCGGAUUGGAGUCUGCAACUCGACUCCAUGAAGUCGGAAUCGCUAGUAAUCGUGGAUCAGAAUGCCACGGUGAAUACGUUCCCGGGCCUU
rnacentral:rRNA from 1 species